rnacentral:rRNA from 1 species
UACGGAGGGGACUAGCGUUGUUCGGAAUUACUGGGCGUAAAGCGCACGUAGGCGGAUUUGUAAGUCAGGGGUGAAAUCCCGGGGCUCAACCUCGGAACUGCCUUUGAUACUGCAAAUCUCGAGUCCGGAAGAGGUGAGUGGAAUCCUAGUGUAGAGGUGAAAUUCGUAGAUAUUAGGAAGAAACACCAGUGGCGAAGGCGGCUAC